CUGACCUCGAAUCAGGUGGGACUACCCGCUGAACUUAA
rnacentral:rRNA from 1 species